GGAUGAACGCUAGCGGCAGGCUUAAUACAUGCAAGUCGUGGGGCAGCAGGGGUAGCAAUACCCGCUGGCGACCGGCAAACGGGUGCGGAACACGUACGCAACCUUCUUUAACUGGAGAAUAGCCCCUCGAAAGAGGGAUUAAUACUCCGUAACAUAUUGAUAAAGGCAUCUUAUUAAUAUUAUAGCUCCGGCGGUUAAAGAUGGGCGUGCGACUGAUUAGAUAGGUUGGCGGGGUAACGGCCCACCAAGUCUGCGAUCAGUAACUGGUGUGAGAGCACGACCAGUCACACGGGCAC
rnacentral:rRNA from 1 species